CUACGGGAUGCUCCAGUGGGGAAUAUUGCACAAUGGGCGCAAGCCUGAUGCAGCCAUGCCGCGUGUAUGAAGAAGGCCUUCGGGUUGUAAAGUACUUUCAGCGGGGAGGAAGGGAGUAAAGUUAAUACCUUUGCUCAUUGACGUUGCCCGCAGAAGAAGCACCGGCUAACUCCGUGCCAGCAGCCGCGGUAAUACGGGGGGUGCAAGCGUUAAUCGGAAUUACUGGGCGUAAAGCGCACGCAGGCGGUUUGUUAAGUCAGAUGUGAAAUCCCCGGGCUCAACCUGGGAACUGCAUCUGAUACUGGCAAGCUUGAGUCUCGUAGAGGGGGGUAGAAUUCCAGGUGUAGCGGUGAAAUGCGUAGAGAUCUGGAGGAAUACCGGUGGCGAAGGCGGCCCCCUGGACGAAGACUGACGCUCAGGUGCGAAAGCGUGGGGAGCAAACAGGAUUAGAUACCCCUGUAGUC
rnacentral:rRNA from 1 species